rnacentral:rRNA from 1 species
AUGGCUCAGAUUGAACGCUGGCGGCAUGCUUUACACAUGCAAGUCGAACGGCAGCACGGACUUCGGUCUGGUGGCGAGUGGCGAACGGGUGAGUAAUACAUCGGAACGCGUCCUGUAAUGGGGGAUAACCUGGCGAAAGCCAGGCUAAUACCGCAUACGUCCUGAGGGAGAAAGCGGGGGAUCGCAAGACCUCGCGUUAUAGGAGCGGCCGAUGUCGGAUUAGCUAGUUGGUGGGGUAAAGGCCUACCAAGGCGACGAUCAGUAGUUGGUCUGAGAGGACGACCAGCCACACUGGGACUGAGACACGGCCCAGACUCCUACGGGAGGCAGCAGUGGGGAAUUUUGGACAAUGGGCGCAAGCCUGAUCCAGCAAUGCCGCGUGAGUGAAGAAGGCCUUCGGGUUGUAAAGCUCUUUCAGUCGAGAAGAAAAGGCUGCGGUGAAUAACUGUAGUUUAUGACGGUAUCGACAGAAGAAGCACCGGCUAACUACGUG